ensembl:lncRNA
UGAGGGUGAAGCUGGGGUCUCUGCCAACGAGUUCGCCUCCUGCAUUGUGGAUUACCUUGAAGCACACCCCACUUACAAUGAAUUCAUCCUUUGGAGUGAUGGUUGUGGCUAUCAAAACAGAAAUCUGGUCCUGAGCAAUGCCCUCUUAAAGUUUGCUACUGAGAAAAAGAAACGUGUGACACAGAAGUACCUUGAAAGAGGUCACACACAAAUGGAAUGUGACUCUGUGCACAGUGUGAUUGAGAGGAAGUUGAGAAACCGUGACAUACAUGUUCCAGCUGAGUAUGCUGCAGUUAUUCGAGGAGCUCGUUCCAGUCCAAAACCAUACGAGGUGAAGUAUGUUGGUUACAGCUUUUUCCAAGACUUCAGCAAAGUCAACAUCUGUAAGUCAGUCCGACCUGGUAGCAAAGUUGGAGAUCCUACGGUGCAUGACCUUCAUACAUGAAACAUUAGCCAUAUCAUAUUAAAAUAUUUGGUUUCAUAAAUCUAAACAUGCUUUUGGUUCCCUCUUAUCUCUGUGACCUAUGUCCCCCGACACCCCUCCCCCCUUAUUUUCUUUAAUCUAUCUAUUAGAUACAAUGUGGAUGGCAAUAUGGAGUUUAAAUUACUACACUCUGACAACUGGCAACCCUUCACAUCCCCAUCCCUGAGGAAGACGUGUGUCAUCGUGGCCCCACUCCAUACAUCCACCCUAAAAAUUAAAGCCCUGAAGUUCAAGCACCUUCAAGAACUGAAACCCAAGGACUUUCAUCCAUUUUACAAUGCACUUGACCAUGAGUGAUGCAGUUUCACUACCUGGAUGAAUGGGCUGUCCUGACUUACUGAUUAAUUUAUUAAUUAAAUGUUCUAUUUAUUGUGUAUUGUAAUGUAAUUGUUUAUGUGCAUGUUUUAAAAUGACUUGGUCUUAUCUGUUGAAAAUCUUGCAUUAAAGGGAUAGUUCACACAAAAAUGAAAAUUCUGCCGUCAUUUACUCACCCUCAAGUUGUUUCAAACCUGUAUGAAUUUCUUUUUUCUGAAAAGAAAAGAUAUUUUGAAAAUUGUCUGUAACCAAACAGUUGACGGACCCCAUUGACUUCCAUAGUAAUUUUUUUUUUCCUACUAUGGAAGUUAGUGGGGUCCAUCAACUGUUUGGUUACAGACAUUUUUCAAAAUAUCUUAUUUUGUGUUCAGCAGAAAAAAGAAAUUCAUACAGGUUUGAAACAACUUGAGGGUGAGUAAAUUAUGACAGAAUUUUCAUUUUUGGGUGAACUAUCCCUUUAAGGCCUGUUGCUAUUUUAUAAUUCCACCUGUAAUGUCAGUAUUGAGUCUGAUUAGUUGGUAUUGCUUGAAUCACCUGAAGAAUAAACAUGAACUGGUAACUGGAGUUUACUGGAACUGCAUCUUCAUUUUCACUUUUCUUUUCUGCAAUACAUUGCCAAAUAAACAUAGCCUGGUGAGACAAUGACUUUCCUUCAUAGAGGUAAAUGUUUCCCCCCUGACGCCAGACGUACGUCUAGGAGUGACAAAAUUACGGUAAGACUGUGCAAACAAAGUAUCUGUCUAGCAUUACCAUGUCAGUGUAUUGAUUCAUUGUCCCUUCAUAGUUUGCAAGAGACAUUUAAUAAAUUUAUAAUUAAUAUUAAAUAAACUAAGCGUAUUUAAUAAACUAAGACGUAGGCUAUUUAAUAAACUGAGCGUAUUCAUCUGUCAAUAUGAAACGCGACUUGGCCAUUCUAAUUAAUGAUCGGAAGAACGUGUAUCGACCACCGUUACUGUAAAAUAUGCACGUAUGUCCAUUUAAACUCAAUUUUGGUCAAAUGUGGAUUAUAUCAUUACACUGGCAAGAAUAUGGUUACAUGUAAAGAUGCCGUACCAAGUAUGACAACGCUACAUUCAACUGCUUUUGAAAUACGGUGUUUUUUUCACUUCCUGAAAAGUAACCGUUUUGGACAUACGUGAGUUUCAUCGGGCAGUGACGUUAUGUUAAAUGAUAGAGGUAGAAUUAGGGUUCUAGCAGCAACUUAAAGAGCAUAUACACAGAUACAUAAACAUUCUUUAGACUAGACUCCUGUGCACACUUGAUAGAACUCCAUCUAACUGCCAGAAACCAAAGAGGAAACCUAGAACAAGAAACGUUGCGUCUGAAGGUUGAAUAGAGGGUUUAUAUAUUCCUCGUGUUGAGUGCCGAUUGGCUAGAUCUAAUUGUAAUAUGUGACAUGGCAUUAAGUCUUCCUAGUAGAACUUGCGCUGACACUUCCAUUUCUUGACACUGUGGACCUUUCAGGGACAUGUUUUGCAUUGGAGUGGACUGGUCACGUAUCAAAUCAUUUUUCUGUUUCUUAGUCAGACCUAUAUUCUCAGUAAUGUGCGGUCUGUUUUGGUUCUUGUUCAAAGUUGUUCGUUGUUCCCUUUUAUGGGUAAUUUUUAUUUUCUACAACAGACAUAAAUAUCUUUAUUUUAUUUUAUUUUAUUUUAUUUUUUAAAAGGAUUACUCAUUUAGGUGAUUUGGUAUAUAGAGUAUGUAUCAGCGUUUAUAUGCCAUUUACAGGAUGGAAUUGCUUUUGUUUUUCUUCAUUCACUAGAUACAAUUUUGGGAUUACGAAUAUACAAAGCAUGUUCUAAAUAUUCUAUCACUGAAUAUAAAUGGCCUAAAUUCUGCUAUCAAACGAACCCGUAUAUUAGAAUAUUUCCACUGUAAAUCGAGUUUCUUUGCACUGAUACAAGAGAUGCAUCUAAAACAAUCUGACGUGGCACAUUUCCAGAAAAGUAUUAUAAAUUGGCAGCCUUCUCCUGCACUCUUAAUAAAACUAAGGGUGUGCUUAUCUUAGUUAACAGGAAGUUACAACUA